UUAACGGUAGCUGAGCGGUUAAGCGCUUGACUUACGAACUUGGGGUCCUGAGUUCGAAUCUCCGUUAAG
rnacentral:tRNA from 1 species